ACCAGAACUAAACCAGGACUAAACCAGGACUAAACCAGGUCUAAACCAGGACUAAACCAGGACUAAACCAGGUCUAAACCAGGACUUAACCAGGUCUAAACCGGGUCUAAACCAGGACUAAACCAGGACUAAACCAGGUCUAAACCAGGACUAAACCAGGACUAAACCAGGUCUAAACCAGAACUAAACCAGGACUAAACCAGGACUAAACCAGGUCUAAACCAGGACUAAACCAGGACUAAACCAGGUCUAAACCAGGACUAAACCAGGUCUAAACCAGGUCUAAACCAGGACUAAACCAGGACUAAACCAGGACUAAACCAGGACUAAACCAGGACUAAACCAGGACUAAACCAGGACUAAACCAGGACUAAACCAGGAC
ensembl:lncRNA